ensembl:lncRNA
CCUGUAUAGAGAAGGGCCCUGUGUUGACCUGUAUAGAGAGGGCCCUGACCUAGAAGGCCCUGUGUUGACCUGUAUAGAGAAGGGCCCUGUGUUGACCUGUAUAGAGAAGGAGACACAAAUGGCACUUAUUCCCUGUGUAGUGCACUAUGGGUGCACUAUGAACCAUAGGGUUCUGGUCUAAAGUAGUGCACUAUGUAGGGAAUAAGAGUUCCAUUUAGUAGACCUGCUUGGUAUCAUGACAGGCCUAGACUAGUGCUGCUCUGUUCUUCAGAGAGAUCUGGAUGAAUGAUCAGCAGUAAUGGGAGCAGAUGUUUCCCAGUACUGACACUACUGGGUGAUGUUCAUCACUCCUACAACGUGCUGCUGAGGCUUUGUUUUGUAUUUCUAUAGUGGAGCAUCUGCAGGUGCAGUCAAAUUAGAGGCUGUUGACAAGGACCCAAUGAAUACAACUGUAUUGAUACAGCUUUAUGACCCAAUAUACCAGGCAGGUAGGAUCAUAGAACGAUACAUUCUAUGGGAAGAUGGCUUUAUGACCCAAUAUACCAGGCAGGUAGGAUCAUAGAACGAUACAUUCUAUGGGAAGAUGGCUUAUGACCCAAUAUACCAGGCAGGUAGGAUCAUAGAACGAUACAUUCUAUGGGACGGUGGCCCACGGCCUUUAAUUGCCUACAUAAUUGAUGAGUUUAUUUCCAAACACAAUUUUUUGUAAAAACAUUUUUUUUUAUAUAAACCUUUUAUUUAACUAGGUACGUUUUCACGUUUUGUGUUUUUUCAUCAGAAAUGAUUGCUUAUGGGUGCCUUCGUGUGUCUGUAAAAUAUUACUGUUCUUAUUCGUAGAUUUUAGAUGUGUAUGAAAAUGUUUUUUUUUUUUUGCUAAACACUAUACAGGUUAGCUGUAAUGUAAUGUUCAUAUCCUGUAUAGCUGACUGUGAUAUGUGGUCUUCUCACCAUAUCUUAAGAUCAAUGCACUGGAUAAGAGCAUCUCCUAAAUGACUACAAUUUGAAAUGUAAAUGUUUUGCAUACAGAUCUCAAAUUACUGUAUUGAAUAAUUGUUUACCUUUUUUCAUUUGUCA